rnacentral:rRNA from 1 species
AUUGAACGCUGGCGGCAGGCCUAACACAUGCAAGUCGAACGAGUGGCGGACGGGUGAGUAAUGUCUGGGAAACUGCCCGAUGGAGGGGGAUAACUACUGGAAACGGUAGCUAAUACCGCAUACCAUCGGAUGUGCCCAGAUGGGAUUAGCUAGUAGGUGGGGUAACGGUCCACCUAGGCGACGAUCCCUAGCUGGUCUGAGGGGAUGACCGGCCACACGGGACCUGGAAACGGGUCCGACCUCCUACGGGAGGCAGCGGUGGGAAAUUUUGCACAAUGGGGGCAAGCCGGAUGCAGCCAUCCCGGGUGUAUGAAGAGGGCCUUCGGGUUGUAAAGUACUUUCGGCGGGGAGGCGUUACCCGCAGAAGAAGCACCGGCUAACUCCGUGCCAGCAGCCGCGGUAUUC